CCUACGGGUGGCUGCAGUGGGGAAUAUUGGACAAUGGGCGAAAGCCUGAUCCAGCCAUGCCGCGUGUGUGAAGAAGGCCUUCGGGUUGUAAAGCACUUUCAGUGGGGAAGAAAGCCUUGGGGCUAAUACCCUCGAGGAAGGACAUCACCCACAGAAGAAGCACCGGCUAACUCCGUGCCGGCAGCCGCGGUAAUACGGAGGGUGCGAGCGUUAAUCGGAAUUACUGGGCGUAAAGCGCGCGUAGGCGGUCUGAUAAGCCGGUUGUGAAAGCCCCGGGCUCAACCUGGGAACGGCAUCCGGAACUGUCAGGCUAGAGUGCAGGAGAGGAAGGUAGAAUUCCCGGUGUAGCGGUGAAAUGCGUAGAGAUCGGGAGGAAUACCAGUGGCGAAGGCGGCCUUCUGGACUGACACUGACACUGAGGUGCGAAAGCGUGGGUAGCAAACAGGAUUAGAUACCCGAGUAGUC
rnacentral:rRNA from 1 species